rnacentral:lncRNA from 1 species
CUCGAUGUUCAUAGAGGCAGAAAAUAAGAGAUCUGAUGUCUAAAUAGGGUCUAUGUCCCUUUUAAUUAAGAUUAUCCAUACUAUUCAAAACCUUAAAAGCAUCAUGAGGAAUAAAAACAACAACAAAAAAUGAAAGUACAUCAUUUAUACAUAUUGCAACCAAAUCAAACACACAAAUUGACCAGCUUGAAAGGUAUAAAUUCAUCGUUAAAUCACUGCUCAAAUACAGCUCCCAACUUGAAUAAACCAACUUCAGGUUCACUCAUUUUCAUACAUUAAGGGGUGAAAUGAAUACCUGGAGAUUGAAAUAAGAAAAACAAUGAGUAUCAGUAGAGUAAACAACGGCCAACCCCAGCAGCAAUAAGAUCAACUUUAAAACCCAGGAAAUAAUAUCAAAUGACCCAGGAAUUAAUUGCAAAUGAGCAGCACUAGUAGACAACCAAAAUCAAGCUCAAAUGAACCAAUUAAACUCGAAAAUAACCCUAGGAACCUCUGAAGCCUCAACUACUGAAACACAGGAAACAUUCAAGCCAUUUUUAAUCUUAGAUGAGCUGGAGCUUUAGUUUAGAACUUCAAAAUUUAAGAUCACUCUUAGAGAAUUCGAUGAAAUAGUGAUUUUAGUUGCCUGAAGAUUUGUAGAGAUUUUUCAGUGUGUUUAAUGCUUCCCAAAAUCUUCUUUGAAACCCAAGCCUUUAUAGGAAAGUUACUAGGGCAAACUUCAUACCUAAGUUUUUAGCAUUUAGUCCUUUUAAUUUUCUAUUUUUAGCUAAUUAGUCCUUCAAUUCAUGACUUGUUGGUCAAGUUAAACUACCAAUUUCCUGAAUUUCAAAUUGACACCCUUACCUAGAAGCUUCUUAUUUCAGUUAUGAGAGAUUCUCUAAACACAAAUACCUAAACUACCCCUGACCACCCCUGUUAUUUACCCUGAAAUUGUUGACCCAGGUUAGAUAAAACCUGUGACCAUGGUUAAUUACCAGGUCCUGAGUUUUUGAACACCCUCUUAUUUUAACCAAACCCCCUAAAAAUUAAGCUAUCUAAUUCAACUAUAUCUAUUUUAAACUAAAAAAAUUAGAGCUAAAACUAUUGACACCAAUUAUUAAUCAACAGAAAUUCACGAAACGAAAUGCAUCAACAUGCAAGCUCAUGUAAUCAAUGGGGGAAUCUAAAAAGAAAUUAAAACUCAAAUGAACUUGGUCCAUAAACUAGGUGUCGAUUGAUCAAACAAGGACAUGGAUCUGAAUCAAUUCAAGAAAAUUUGACAAGUAAACUCGAACAUGCUGCUUUAAACAGAAAAUUUACUUUCCUAUUAUUUUAGACGCAUCCUAACUGACCUAGCUCAGGAAUCAAGCGUGAAGAACAAACUUAUCAAAAAAAAGGCUACUGCAUUUUAAUCAAAUCGAACUAAAACCUAAUCUAAGUAAACAAAUAUGCAGAAACUGAAACUAAAAGGUAAAUGGAAAACUUAGCUUAUAAAAAAUGUUUUGAAGCCAAGAAAUCUUCACGCACCACUCUGGGAACCCUAGAUUCAACUUUUGGGGAGUUUAGCCAUAAUUCGAAGGAAGCCAAUCAGUGAUUCGAGAUGAAGAGGUAAAGGGGAGGUUGUGAUGUAAAUUUAGUUGGUGAUUGGAUGAGUUAGGAUUCCGGUCGGGGAUUUGGUUUAAAAUUCGAGAGAUUUGGUUGGGUUUCAAGGGAAGAGAGUUGUGAAUUUGGGCUGAGGGAGGUCUGGUGGCCAUGGGGUGUUAAUUUGGGGUUGCUUAGCAUCGGCGCCGUCGUGCACCGCAGCAAAGCCAGCUUUUCAAAUGGAUAUUCGAGGCUUUUGGCUAAUGUUUGAGGGUUGGUAAUGGCGGAUUUGUAAAGAGGAAGGUGAGAAGAGUAAGUGGUGUUAUUUGAAGGUGAUUGGACAGUCGCCGCCGGCGGUUAGUGGUGCAGGGUGGUGGCGUUAGGUUUUGGUCUCUGAUAUGUUAC